AUUGAACGCUGGCGGCAGGCCUAACACAUGCAAGUCGAGCGGAUGAACGGAGCUUGCUCCUGGAUUCAGCGGCGGACGGGUGAGUAAUGCCUAGGAAUCUGCCUGGUAGUGGGGUAUAACGUCCGGAAACGGGCGCUAAUACCGCAUACGUCCUGAGGGAGAAAGUGGGGGAUCUUCGGACCUCACGCUAUCAGAUGAGCCUAGGUCGGAUUAGCUAGUUGGUGGGGUAAAGGCCUACCAAGGCGACGAUCCGUAACUGGUCUGAGAGGAUGAUCAGUCACACUGGAACUGAGACACGGUCCAGACUCCUACGGGAGGCAGCAGUGGGGAAUAUUGGACAAUGGGCGAAAGCCUGAUCCAGCCAUGCCGCGUGUGUGAAGAAGGUCUUCGGAUUGUAAAGCACUUUAAGUUGGGAGGAAGGGCAGUAAGUUAAUACCUUGCUGUUUUGACGUUACCAACAGAAUAAGCACCGGCUAACUUCGUG
rnacentral:rRNA from 1 species